CCCCGUUGCACGCGACAUGAAGGACAACAUGUACGUGGACAAUAUUCUGUCUGGUGCUGAUACCGAAUUAAAUGCCUCCCAAUACUAUGACGAAUCAAGAUCGAUUAUGACUGAAGCUAAGUUCAACCUACGUUCAUGGGCCUCAAAUAGUCCGACACUUCAGCAGGAAGCAACUAAAGAUGAAACAGUUGACACAACUCCAGAGACUGAUGUCAAUGUUCUCGGCGUACGAUGGAACACAUCCUCUGACACCAUUCAUUUUGCAACCAAGAAAUCCAUACCUAACAUGCACGAACUGAUCACUAAACGCGAAGUUCUGCAACACUCCUCCAGCAUUUUCGAUCCCCUUGGGAUAAUAGCUCCUGUAACAAUCAGAGUCAAGAUUGUCAUGCAACAACUGUGGCAACAAUCGAUCGAUUGGGAUGAACCCCUCAACGAACAACUUCAACAAGAAUGGCUCAAAUUAGCUGUAGAUUUGUUUGCAGCUCAGCAAACCAUUAUACCACGUCGAUACCAUUUAACGCCCACGAUUUCCCAGAAC